AACAUUAUGUUUUUGUUAUUUGCGUCGCAUUUUAAUAAUGAAGGGACGCAAAUGUAUCUUUUGCAUUUAGGUUAUUUCAUAAUUUUGACCUUAGUUUUUCACGCCUACCUUCCACUAAACAAAAAGAAAAAACAAGUUGCAACUCCAGUGAAUUUCUACAGCCAAAACACCCACAAAUUCGACCCUUAAAUCCAACAAAUUCGGCCAAAAAAACACCGAUUCCUCAGCAAAUUCAACAUUCAAAAUCGCAAUCAAGUUGAAGGCUUAUAAUCGGCAGCAAAUUUGAGCAAUUUCGAGCAAAAAUUUGGACCAAAAACCCUAAGAAAUCCGAACCCAUAAACCCCAGAAAAAUUGAGCAUUUCCCACAAAAAUUCCCCCAUUUUGAGCAAAAAAUCUACUCAAAACCAUAGGAAUUCGAACCCUAGAAACCCCAAAAAAUUCAAUUAAAAAUCCUGGCCUCAUAUUCGAGCAAUGACUGAAAGUUUCGAUUGGAAAAAUCGAUUAAUUUCGCCCCCAAAAACACCGGGGAAGUUCUAGCAAAUUACAGCAACAAUAAUUGAAGUUUGAUUAGUGUAGCAGUUUGACAUUGUUGAAUUUGUUGAGUUUAUUUCACCUAAGCCUGAUAUCACGGCACCAGGAGUGAAUGUCUUAGCUGCAUACUUUGGAGCUGUAAGUCCAACAGAGGAACCUUAUCCCAUAAGCGUAGAGUUUCCUUUAUGUUAGACUCGGGUACUUCUAUGUCUUGCCCUCAUAUAUCUGGGUUUGCUGGCCUUCUCAAGACUCUGUACCCUACAUGGAGCCCUGCCGCAAUAAGAUCUGCUAUAAUGACUACCGUCAAAUAUAACACAGAGAAGCCAAUGCUGGAUGCAUAUUUCACAACAGCCGAUCCAUUCGCCUAUGGAGCAGGACAUGUUAGACCAAACAGUGCCAUGGAUCCAGGGCUAGUCUAUGACUUAACCACACGCGAUUAUUUAGAGUUCCUUUGCUCUCUUGGCUAUAACAAAACCAUGCUCCAGUCCUUUGAUCCUUCCUACAAAUGGCAAGCAUCAAACACUAAAAGUAGUGGCCUAUUGAACUUCAACUACCCUUCAAUCACAAUGCCUAAACUAUCUGGCUCAGUCACUGUCACUCGAACAGUUAAGAAUGUGGCAGAGGCCUCGACUUAUGAAGCUCGUGUGACCCAACCAAACGGCGUUGAGGUCACUGUGGAACCGAAGUCUUUGCAGUUCACGAAAGCUGGAGAAGAGAAGAGUUAUAAGGUGACCCUCAAAGCUCAAGCUGGUGGCUUGCCAGCAGGGUACGUUUUCGGAGAGUUGAUAUGGUCAGAUGGAAAUCACUUUGUUAGGAGCCCCAUUGCAGUUGCUGCAACAGUUUAAUAGCGUCUUACUGUCAAAUGUAGUUGUUAACUUGAUGCUUGCAAACAAUUUGUAGGUCCAUUUGAAAAAUUUACACAGGUUACCAUGAUCGUCCCAUUAACAGGACAACGGUAUUCAAAUAAACUGACAGAAAAUUGCAUUGCAUUCUGGAAGGCCAUCGGAAUCUACACCGAUGAAGAAGCAAAGGCGGUUGAAAAAUUCCUUGACAUCUUUAAGGACAAGAAGUUUCCACAAGGGCAUUCUAUUUUGUUUACACAAUCACUCUGGGAUCACCAACGUUUGAGGAGAAAAGAAGGAUGCCAAUGGAUGCACUUUAGAGAGGGUAAAAUUUAUGGAGAAGCAACUUAGAUUCAACUCAGUUCCGGAUUUGUACUAGUUUUUCACUUUUUCAUUGUGGAUAGCACAACAAGCUCUUUAACUAAUUGAUAGCAGAGCAAGCUCUUGAUCUUUUUUAUUGUUGAUCGAAUAUCAAGCUCUUUUAAAGUAUGAUUUAAAGGAAACAACCACUUUCUUGCAAAUUUAUGGGUAAAUCUAAUAAGUACUUGAGAGUUGAGACUAGGGCAAGUAUUAUUGUUCGCCGUAACUACCUUCAUUACAUCAAGAAGUACCAAAGGCAAGUAUUAGCUAUUUUGUUUUCCCAAGUGCUGUUGUGUUAUAUGUGAUUGUUCGGUAUUCUUAUUAUUUUGUUUGUUGUUAUGUUGCUUGCAGGUACAAGAAGAGGCAUUCAAACAUCCCUGCACAUGUGUCACCCUGUUUCCGUGUCAAGGAAGGAGACCACGUUAUCAUUGGUCAAUGCAGGCCUAUCUCAAAGACAGUGAGGUUCAAUGUGUUGAAGGUGAUUCCAGCUGGAGCUGCUGCUGGUGGAAAGAAGGCUUUUGCCGGAAUUUAAGGUGUUUUUUGGAUAGAUAUUGUGAUGUAGCUAAGAUCUAUCACAGGGCUUGGAAAUUAGUAUUGUUUGCAGACCCUUGAAUUUUGAUACUUGAAGCAUUUUCAUGAUUACUAAAUACUAUGUUUCUUUUGUUAAAAUCAUAUUGGGAAAUUGUAGUACAAACAUCUUUAUGGUAUCAAAUGUUUUGUCUUAGGACCUCCCGCAAGUUUUGGCAAUA